rnacentral:lncRNA from 1 species
GCUCCCUCCCUGGAUGCAACCAAGGGAGUUGCUUCUCUCAGCAGCUGCAGUGUCCUUUUGCACAGAAAACAUUCAAGAGACUCAAUAUUUAAACAAAAGCAAAUACAAACUCUCCUUACCAUCACCUCCUCAAGAGUAUUCAGCAUCGCUGUGUAUGCAUCAGGACACCCUGAGAGUCCCCACUCCACUUGUACAGUGACGUAGAAGCACUUUCACUAAUGCUAGAGGAGAGAGCAGCCUGGUCUUCGGAACUUGUACCAUCAUGCUCUCUCUGUCCUCCUCAGAAAAUGAGGUAAGUGUGUCCAAGGGAACAGGACAAUGACAUUAGAAACUUGUGCAUUGGGGCAAUGGACACCACAGCAAUGGGCUGAAUGAUCAUGAAGAUUGCACCUGCAUCAGCUAAUUCUAUCCUCACAUACUUCAUGAAGUUGACACCUGUGUUUAUUGUUCUCUUUUAUAACAGAGGAAACUGAGGCAGGAGCACGAGAUUAUCAAGUGGCAGGCCAGGUUUUGAAGCUGGGUCCACCAAUUUCAAAUGCAAGCCUUUAGCUCAGAUCUUUCUCUGUGAGGAUCGAUUUGGCACAGAUUCUACUGAAAGCAUUUUAUGACAACUGAAAAUUCUUAUAACAGUUUCAGUAAGCAUGUUCACAAUACACACAGUAUCUAAAUUGGGUGUAUGUGUGUGUCUGCUGUGGAGAUAUUUCAAAAAUUGAACUACAGCUUCUUUCUGAACUCUUGAUUGACAGACUCUAUUUUACAAUUUUAUUUAACUGUUUAAUUUUUAAAUAUGUGCAUUUGUCUUUCCAAAUACAGCCCAAAAGCAAAACAAGUGGGUCCAAAAGCAAGAGGCAGGAGCUGCGGCCAGCCAGUCCAACCUCCCCCGAAGCUGCAUGGCCUGAGGGUGUCUUCUUCUUCUUCUACAGUGGAAGCCUAAACUGAAGAGGAGAUCUCAUCACAACUUACAGAAAAACAUACGUCAGAGUGUGGGGUAUUCUCAAAUUUAGCAGUUUGCCACUAACUGUGACCAUGGUCCUGCAGUUUUAGGGAAGAACAAGACAGACCUAAGCAGUGUUGAAGGCCAACUUUGCCUUCCUGACCAGUUUCUACUCUAUUCUAUAAAGAUUCCAAAAAAGACACCAGCAACAAGGCCAGGUGUGGUGGCUCACACCUGUAAUCUCAGCACUUUGGGAGGCCAAGGCAGGUGUACCACCUGAGGUCAGGAGUUCGAGACCAGCCUGGCCAACAUGGUGAAUCCCUAUCUCUACCAAAAUAUAAAAGUUAGACUGGCAAAGUGUUGUGCGCCUGUAAUCCCAGCUACGUGGGAGGCUGAAGCAAGAGAAUCACUUGAACCCAGGAGGCAGAGGUUGUAGUGAGCAGAGAUUAUGCUCAAAAAAAAAAAAAAAAAAAAGACAUGGCAACAAGAGCGAACCCAUUCAUUCUGAUAUUAGUAGAUUAUGCUAAUUGUAGCCUGUCUCGUAGGUGUGCAUUGCUAUUUCAGGAUGGUUUUAUUUGAGAAUAAAUGAUAUUGAGCACUUUUCAUGUUCUUUAUAGCUUUUAUCUCAUUCUUUUUAGAGAAUUGUUUACUUAAGUUUAUUGCCCAUUUGGGUGGGUUUACCUGUCUUUUCAAAAGUGUAAGAAUUCUUUGCAUAUCCUGUGUAUAGGUCAUUUUGUUAUAUGUGUUGAAAAUAUCUUCUGUUUUGUGACUUGAGUUUUUACUCUUACUGGUUUCUUUUGAUUACUCAAAUUUCGUAGUCUUAGUGAAAUCAAUUUUUCUCAGUCUUUUUCAUUAUGAUUAAUACUUUUGAAAUAUAUUUAAAAAUUCUUUGCAUACCCAAAAGUCAUGAAACUAUUUUCUUUAGUUAUAUUUGAGAGUGGUGUUAUUAUUUAUGUUGUACAUUUAAACAUAUCUGUGUAUCGUGUAAAGUAGGAGCAUAAAUAUCUAAUUGAUCUAUCACAAUUUAUUGACAUUUUAUCAUUUUCCCGGGAUUCUUUAUUAUACAUCAACAAACUUGACACCUUUGUCAUACACGGGUUAUCGUGUGUCAGUCUAUCCUUGACUCUGUUCUGUUUAAUCAGUCUGUUAAUCUAUGGAUACUUUACUGUAUUAUUUCUUAUAGCUUUACUGCUAGUCUGGCUAUCUAGAGGCCCUCCCAUUCGUUCUUUUUCAAGAUUGUCUUAGCUAUUCUUGGCCUUUUAAGUUCCACAUACAUUUCAGAAUCAACUUAUGGUUCUCCAAAAAUCUUGCAAGUAGAUUGAUGAAAAUUUUAUUGGAUCUAUAUUUGAGGAAAAUUGCUGUUUGUAUCUUUCAAUCCAUGAAUAGUUCUUUAUUUAUUUGGUCCUUUUGUAGGCUUUAGUCACGUGCCACCUUGUCUAGGUUGCCCAGUUAUUCAGACAAACACUAAUCUAAUGGUUGCUGUGAAAUAAUUUUGCAAAUGCAGUUAAAGCCCUGAUCAGUUGACAGGAAGUAAGAGAGGCUGUGCUGAAUAAUCCGGGCAGCUUGGAUGAAAUCUGUUGGAAGGCUUUAAAAGCAGGACUGAGGUUUCCCCAGGAGAAGGAAGACACAUCAGCUGUGGAUGAGAGCCUCAGACAUGCCACGUGCUUGCUUUGUGAUUUCCUUCCCUGUGGGUUUUUCCCAGGCCAAGCAGUCCCCACAAAUUUAUAAGCCAAUCCCUUGUUUUACUUUUUACCCCUUCGGGAAGACAGUAUGUUGUGCUAAGGGCUAUGUCAUCAAAUUCCAUCACUGCUGAUGUGUAAUAAAUAUUUGCAGUUGCAAGUCACUGAGAUGUUACCUUUGCUAUGCAGAAAAGGUCAUCAAUACACAGCUUCCACCUUGGGACAUUAUUCUUCUGCCUGUAGAGCACCUUCGUGUAGGCAUGUUGGGAAUAUAAUCUUUCAAUUUUGUUAAUCUGAAAACUUUUUUACCUUACCUUAAUUUUAUUUUAUUUUUAUUGAGAUAUAAUAAAUAUAGAAAUUGAUGAAUUUUCACAGGGUUAAUCCUCGAUGGCCAGGACCCAGACGGAGAAGUCUAACACGCUCAGCAUCACAGAAGUUCCUGUGCAACGCCCUCUGGAGGGGAAGCACUUUCCAAGUUCAUGGACAUCCUGACUAAUUAUUGAUCAAUUUUGCCUAUUUCUGAACUUGAGGUAAAGGGAGUCAUGCAGUGUGCAUCGUUUAUAGAAUUUGCUUUGUUCGCUAAUACUU